rnacentral:tRNA from 1 species
CACUGAGUAAGUCUCUUUUGGUAGAGCAUUUGGCGCGUAACCAAAAGAUCCAGGUUCGAGUCCUGGUCUGGGCUGUCUGA